CCUACGGGAGGCAGCAGUGGGGAAUAUUGCACAAUGGGGGAAACCCUGAUGCAGCGACGCCGCGGGAGCGAUGAAGUAUUUAGGUAUGUAAAGCUCUAUCAGCAGGGAAGAAAAUGACGGUACCUGACUAAGAAGCCCCGGAUAACUACGUGCCAGCAGCCGCGGUAAUACGGAGGGGGCAAGCGUUAGCCGGCUGUACUGGGUGUAAAGGGAGCGUAGACGGCGGUGCAAGCCAGAUGUGAAAGCCCGGGGCUCAACCCCGGGACGGCAUUUGGAACUGUGCUGCUAGCGGGUCGGAGAGGCAGGCGGAAUUCCUAGUGUAGCGGUGACAGGCGUAGAUAUUAGGAGGAACACCAGUGGCGAAGGCGGCCUGCUGGACGAUGACUGACGUUGAGGCUCGAAAGCGUGGGGAGCAAACAGGAUUAGAUACCCCAGUAGUC
rnacentral:rRNA from 1 species